rnacentral:misc_RNA from 1 species
UUUCCGUAGGUGAACCUGCGGAAGGAUCAUUAAAAUAUUUUGAGUCGGCGCAUGGCGUUGGGGUACAAGGCUUCGGCCCCGGCUUCGGCCGCCCCUCGCCGCCAACACUCUCAACCCUUUGUGAAAUUUCCCUUGCUUGGGCAGCGCACCAAUCAGUCUGCCCGAGAAACCAGAAACUAUCGACGAAACCUUUGUCCGAUGCAAACAGUCUAAUGACUUUAAAACUUUCAACAACGGAUCUCUUGGUUCUC